rnacentral:rRNA from 1 species
CUUAUAAGACGAGAAGACCCCAUGGAGCUUUAAACCCAAUAGCACCCGGUUAUUGUAUAACCUUAUAUAUGUCCGGCCUUUGUCUACUUGGUUUUAGGUUGGGGUGACCACGGAGCAUAAAAAAGCCUCCAUGAAGAAAGGAGUAAGUAUCCUUAUCAGAGAAUGACACUUCCAAGAAUUAAUAAACUAAUUUUUAAUGAUCCGAUAUUCGAUCAACGAACCAAGUUACCCUGGGGAUAACAGCGCAAUCCACCUCAAGAGCCCCUAUCGACAG